UACGAAGGGGGCUAGCGUUGUCCGGAAUCAUUGGGCGUAAAGAGCGUGUAGGCGGCUCGAUAAGUCUGCUGUGAAAGUCCAGGGCUCAACCCUGGAAGGCCGGUGGAAACUGUCGGGCUAGAGUCCGGAAGAGGCGAGUGGAAUUCCCGGUGUAGCGGUGAAAUGCGCAGAUAUCAGGAGGAACACCAAUUGCGAAGGCAGCUCGCUGGGACGUUACUGACGCUGGAGACGCGAAAGCGUGGGGAGCAAACAGG
rnacentral:rRNA from 1 species